UCGAUUAAUGUAAAAAUGAAAGAAAAAAAGAACCAAAGAAUUCAAUUAAAAAACCAGCUUUAAUAUCAUUUUGUCUAAAUUGUAAAAAUUGCAUAUAAAAUAUAAGUUUUACGCCUACCUUUUCUGUCAAACCCUCGAACGAACGAGUUAUACCAUGAUCCCUUGGCAAGAAAAAUUAGUGAAAUUAUAUGCGUAGAUACGAACUUCUUAUACCUUUGUAUGACUUUUACAAAUGGCAAAGAAAAAUAAUUAAUCCGCCCGCUAUUCUCGGAAAGGACGUAAGAUUUAUUUUGCGAGAAUACUGCUGCUGAAUGUGAACAAAAAUAACACGGUACCGAAAGUCACGUCGUCUAAUAUCGGUUCCAGUACGUCCUGCGUCUGAACCAGUUGUAGUCAGGCAAACCCUGGAUCGGACCCAAUGCAGCAAUUGCAAUAUCCU